UACGUAGGCAGCGAGCGUUGUUCGGAAUUACUGGGCGUAAAGAGUGUGUAGGCGGUGCUCUAAGUUCGGUGUGAAAUCUCCUGGCUCAACUGGGAGGGUGGUCGCGAGACGGCAGGGCUUGAGGCUCGGUGAGGGGCGUGGAAUUCCGGGUGGAGCGGUGAAAUGCGUAGAGAUCCGGAGGAACACCAACGGCGUAGGCAGCGCCCUAGACGAGACCUGACGCUCAGGCACGAAAGCGCGGGGAGCGAACAGG
rnacentral:rRNA from 1 species